CAGCAGCCGCGGGAAUACGUAGGUGGCAAGCGUUGUCCGGAAUUAUUGGGCGUAAAGGGCUCGCAGGCGGUCUCUUAAGUCUGAUGUGAAAGCCCCCGGCUCAACCGGGGAGGGUCAUUGGAAACUGGGAAACUUGAGUGCAGAAGAGGAGAGUGGAAUUCCACGUGUAGCGGUGAAAUGCGUAGAGAUGUGGAGGAACACCAGUGGCGAAGGCGACUCUCUGGUCUGUAACUGACGCUGAGGAGCGAAAGCGUGGGGAGCGAACAGGAUUAGAUACCCCCGUAGUCCCUGUCUCUUAUAC
rnacentral:rRNA from 1 species